rnacentral:rRNA from 1 species
GCAAGUCGAGCGGAAACGACAACAUUGAAUCUUCGGAGGAUUUGUUGGGCGUCGAGCGGCGGACGGGUGAGUAAUGCCUAGGAAAUUGCCUUGAUGUGGGGGAUAACCAUUGGAAACGAUGGCUAAUACCGCAUAAUGCCUACGGGCCAAAGAGGGGGAUCUUCGGACCUCUCGCGUCAGGAUAUGCCUAGGUGGGAUUAGCUAGUUGGUGAGGUAAUGGCUCACCAAGGCGACGAUCCCUAACUGGUUUGAGAGGAUGAUC